rnacentral:lncRNA from 1 species
AAACAGAUUUAAGAAUGAAAUAUUGAUUUUUCUGACCCUGAAAAAAAGAAUCCUAGAAUGACUGGACCAGAGGAUUGGAAAGAACGCUUUCUGAAGUGCAUUUUCCAGCUAGUAACCAUGUUUUGUUUUAUUUUUGUUUUCUCUACCUUUUAGGUCUGUUUGCCUGGACCCAUCAACAUCUGGGAGACUAAUCAACCACACUGAAAAUGUUUCCGGGGGAUUGUGGGGGAGGGGGUUGGAAUGUAGAUGUUUGAAACAAAUGUGUAUAAAUAAAUGAAUUGUUGAUAACUUAGUUAUUGACCUGGAGACUGGUAGCUUGUUAAAGAAACUCCAUGUUCCUUCUUCCUGGAGUUGGGCGGUUUCUGUAGGCACUUUUAUUUCUCCACUUUCAAAAGCUUGGGCUUGGCCCAACUGUGAGGCUGCCCAAUCCUGUUUCUAUUACCAAUUUAAAUCUAUGGCUUGAACCUCUACACUGAAAAACCAAAUCCAUUCCCUUUAAAAAGAGAGGAAAAAAAAAAAACAUUUCUCAGAAGUCCUAUGUUCUGGCUUUCUUUUUUGUUAUUGACUACUGAAGACUUUGAACAUGCCCCCUUAAUAAAUAUAUUAAAAUUGAAAAAGAAGAUGAA